rnacentral:lncRNA from 1 species
CUUAGAAGUCAUCUUUUUGUCUGCCAGUGUUACUUCACUGCUUUGAUUUAUCCUUGGUUCUCCUAUAAGCAGAGCCUGAGCCAAAAGCUUACAUAUGUAAAUUUGGGAAGUGAUCCCAGGGAACAGUGGCAAAAUGAAACAAGACAGACAAGCCUAUUAACAACAUAUUCAUUGAGUUAGCCAAAACAUAGGCACUAGUGCUAGAUCUUGAGGGAACUUGUGACAAGUCCUAGGAAAUAUGUGUUGUAUAGUGACCAGGUCUAUGCAACCUACCCCCAAAGGCUGAGAGUGCUGAGAUGCCAAAGAAAGAGGCCAACAAAUCCAGUUUGUCAGAAAGAAACAUUUAAUAGGGACUUAUGCACAGAAGCCAUGUCUCAGGCAGUGAUCCCCACAGUUACCCCCCGACCCAGGGCUUAUAUGCCAUAGAGAAAAGGGGGUACAUGAAGGAACAUGUGAGACACUGAAGUCACCUCCUCAGGGAAAGGCAAGAAUGCUGUUUACAACUUAGCCUAUAACUUGCUUAAGGCCAGGAUUUACAGUGUGUGUGUGUGUGUGUGUUCUUUUAAUAGAUAAAAGUAGAAAUCUUAGAGGGCAUUCCAGGAACUGGUUAUCAGAAGUCAACAUGGUAGAUUAGCAUCCAAGAUGGAAGUUACUUUAGCCUCAUACUGUGCCUGUGAAUUUCUUUGAGGAGGGGAUGGGGUGGCCCCACACCUCUUCCAGGUUGUACAUACCCAAGUGCUAGGCAGUUCCUGUAGCUGGUGAGAAGCCCAGGGGCAGGAAGUGAGACAUCCCCAGAGCAAGAGGCAAGGUUCAGCCCUGCUUGAAACUGGUUGCCACAGCAGUGACUUUAGUAUGAAGGCCAAGAGGAUUGGAAGUGACACACAGGAGGUCUCAAACACUGCUCUUAUAAAUGGCCUGUGUGUCCUAAUGCCAUCAGAAGUGAUAAAGUUGGUACUAGGAUGUGGGUAAUCCCAGCACUUUGGGAGACCAAAGUGGGUGGAUCCCUUGAGUCCAGGAGUUUGAGACCAGCCUAAGCAACAUGGUGAAACCCUAUCUCUACACAAAGUUUUUAAAAAAUUAGCCAGGGCAUGGUGGUGCCUAUAGUGUCAGCUACUCAGGCGGCUGAGGUGGGAGAAUAGCUUGAGCCCAGGAGGUGGAGGGUGCAGUGAACUGAGAUCAUACCACUGUGCUCCAGCCUGGGCAACAGCACAAGACUCUGUCUCAAAAAAUAAUAAUAAUAAUAAUUCACUACGAUGACCCUGACAAUAGUUUCUAAUCUCAUUUACUAGGUAAGUUACAGUUUGGUAUACUUUAGAUUGCAUUUUUUUAAAUGUUAAAUAUUUGGAUUUAUUUGGAAAAAGUAACUGAUACAGAAUACUGAAUUCCUUAUAAACAUACAAAUUGUCAUUUUGUGGACACAUGUGAAGCUUUUUUGCCAUUUUCCCAGAAUAGUAAAGGGCAGAAGAUGGGAAAAUGAGAGGAGAUGAAGAUACUCCAAAAGAACAUGAAUGAAUUUGGAAACAAAUGCUAGACUGGCAGCCCAGUCCAUGCUAUAUUGUCCUUAACUCACUGAACCACCCUGGUUUUUCCAAUGAAAGAUAAGCUCCAAAGUUUAUUUCAGCUAUAAAAGUUUCAUUCUUGAAAAAAUUCCACUUCAAAUCCAGAAACCUAAGCCUGAGGAAACUGACUAGCUCAGUGAAGCCACAAGUAGGAGAAGCAAGACUGAACCUUAAAUCUCCUAAUUCCCAGGGAGUUUUUUUCUGAAUCAGCUAAAUGAAGUAUUAAAAGAGGCUACUUAGGGGACUGGGUGCAUGAAUAUAGACAACUCUCAGCAAAUAAGCCCUAUGGUCCACAAAGCUAUACACCAGUUCUCUUACUAAUUUACCUUCUAUUUCCCAAUAGGUAAAGGAUAUUCAUUGAACACAAGGACACUUAGAAGUUAAUGGCCAUUUCUAGACUUGUCUAGAAUGAAAUCUCCUUGGUAUUGUCUGUAUUUUAAGGCACUAAAUGGAUACUACCACUUGGUAGAAAGCCAAAAGGAAUAUGAAAACUGACUACAGAUUAAGAAUUAAACCAGUUUACUUAAGGCUUCAGGAGAGAAGCUAAAGUAGUGUUUAUAUAACUGGAUUUGGGGGCCACCUGGAUCAAAAUCACUUGGGCUCCAUGUUAAAAAUGCAGGUUUCUGGCCCCUGUUUAUCAGUCUCUGGGAAAGGGCUAAUCUGCAUCUUUUAGCAACCCACCAGGUGAUUCUCAAAAAGUCUAAAGUUUGAGAACCACUGGUAGAGAUAACUGAGAAAAUGGAGAAGGCAGACAGGGAAAGAACAAAGCCAAAUAAAGAAUGGAAGGGAAAUAACUUCUGUUAUGAUAGGGUGGCUGAGGAAAAGAAGGAUGCGGUACAUACUAAGGUACUACUUUCUUUUUCUUUAAAUCUCUAUGUAACAAAAGUUAAGGGCACUAGAGAAGCUUAAUAACCUAAUUCUAGUAAAGUUAGAACAUUGGAAAGAUACCUACCUCAAACUUCACAUCAUUAUUUGAAAAUACUCAAGAUGUACUCCCCUCAGAGCAACAGUACGAGCAACAUCCCCUAUCAGAUGACAGCAUCAACACCAAAUUAUAAAUGUUCUAGCCUCAUUCCUGGGUCUACUUUGUAUCUCCUAACCUCAUUUUUUCAUUUUACUUUCUCAUCUACCUGUUAUCCUAUUAUAUUUCAUAUGUAACCAUAAACCACCUUAUUGCCUUUUUGUAAAAAGGUUUAUUUGGAAUCAAUCACUGGUACCCAAAUAAAUAAAAUUAAAACGUUUUGGAGAACUCCAAACUCACUUUAAUAUGAGAUAAGCCAAGCAAAUGAAGAG